UUACGCUGUUAUCCCUAAGGUAAUUUAGUCUUAUAAUCAACAAAAAUGGAUCAAAUAUAUAUAAAUAAAUAUAAAAAAAUAAAAAGAGUUAAUUAAAUCUUUCCAUCACCCCAACAAAAUAAAUUUUCAAAUUAAAAAAAUAUCAUACAAAAAAAUAAAAAUAUAUAUAAACUCUAUAGGGUCUUCUCGUCCCAAAAAAAUAUUUAGGCAUUUUAACCUAAAAUUUAAAUUCAAUAAAUAAAUUAAAGACAGUUUACACCUCGUCAAACCAUUCAUUCCAGCCUACAAUUAAAAGACUAAUGAUUAUGCUACCUUUGCACGGUCAAAAUACCGCGGCCCUUCAAUACUCAGUGGGCAGGCCAUACAUCAAAAUAUAUUCAAGAAGAGAUGUUUUUGAUAAACAGGCG
rnacentral:rRNA from 9 species